AACCCAUGGUGAGGGCACUUCUAUAAGAGAUCCUUAUACCUUUCCCAUGCUUCAUACAAUGACUUCAUGUCUUGUUGGAAGAAAUUAGUAAUAUCACUUGUCAUCUU